rnacentral:rRNA from 1 species
GACGAACGCUGGCGGCGUGCCUAAUACAUGCAAGUCGAACGAACCGCGACUAAGUGCUUGCACUAAGUCAAGGUGAGUGGCGAACGGGUGAGUAACACGUGGGUAACCUACCUCAUAGUGGGGGAUAACAGUCGGAGACGACUGCUAAUACCGCAUAGGACAUAGGAUCACAUGAUCCAGUGAGGAAAGGUGGCGCAAGCUAUCGCUAAGAGAUGGACCCGCGGUGCAUUAGCUAGUUGGUAGGGUAAAGGCCUACCAAGGCGAUGAUGCAUAGCCGACCUGAGAGGGUGAUCGGCCACAUUGGGACUGAGACACGGCCCAAACUCCUACGGGAGGCAGCAGUAGGGAAUCUUCCGCAAUGGACGCAAGUCUGACGGAGCAACGCCGCGUGAGUGAAGAAGGUCUUCGGAUCGUAAAGCUCUGUUGUUAGAGAAGAACAGCGCAUAGAGUAACUGCUAUGCGUGUGACGGUAUCUAACCAGAAAGCCACGGCUAACUACGUG